rnacentral:rRNA from 1 species
CAAACUGGAGAUGGCGACCGGCGCACGGGUGAGUAACACGUAUCCAACCUGCCGAUAACUACGGGGAUAGCCUUUCGAAAGAAAGAUUAAUACCCGAUGGCAUAAUAGAACCGCAUGGUUUGAUUAUUAAAGAAUUUCGGUUAUCGAUGGGGAUGCGUUCCAUUAGGCAGUUGGUGGGGUAACGGCCCACCAAACCUUCGAUGGAUAGGGGUUCUGAGAGGAAGGUCCCCCACAUUGGAACUGAGACACGGUCCAAACUCCUACGGGAGGCAGCAUG